rnacentral:rRNA from 1 species
UACGUAGGGUGCGAGCGUUAAUCGGAAUUACUGGGCGUAAAGCGUGCGCAGGCGGCUUUGCAAGACAGAUGUGAAAUCCCCGAGCUCAACUUGGGAACUGCACUUGUGACUGCAUAGCUAGAGUACGGUAGAGGGGAGUGGAAUUCCGCGUGUAGCAGUGAAAUGCGUAGAUAUGCGGAGGAACACCGAUGGCGAAGGCAAUCCCCUGGGCCUGUACUGACGCUCAUGCACGAAAGCGUGGGGAGCAAACAGG